CAAAAGAUGUCGCUUAGAUAUUUGGAAUAUGAUGUCGUAUAGUUUAUACGCUUUAAAAAUUUACAACUGCGUAACAAAAUACUUUACGUUCCAAGAGUUAUCUCCCCAAACACUGUUUUUCUUGUGGCCACUACUCCUUCGCAACCGUAAAAGAUUACGACAAAUUUAUUUUACCAAAUUGCUCGUUACUUCUUCAGGAUUAGGAUAUUCAUUUGGACCGAAGCUAUCAGGAGACUCCAUAUGAGAGUUAUUUCCCCUUAUGCAUUUGAUAUAAGUGAUAUGCGUUUCUAACUGGUAAACCAUCAGUGAUAUAGGCCUAGGGUCUUUGGAUUUAAGUUCCUUGGUCCAAAAAAAUGAAAAUAAGGUCAAGGUCAAAGGUCAAGGUCAUAUUCUAAAUUUUGAUUUUGGCUUAUUUUCACUUAUUUUCAACAACC
rnacentral:lncRNA from 1 species